GUCCAGACUCCUACGGGAGGCAGCAGUGGGGAAUAUUGCACAAUGGGGGAAACCCUGAUGCAGCGACGCCGCGUGAGUGAAGAAGUCUUUCGGUAUGUGAAGCUCUAUCAGCAGGGAAGAAAAUGACGGUACCUGACUAAGAAGCCCCGGCUAACUACGUGCCAGCAGCCGCGGUAAUACGUAGGGGGCAAGCGUUAUCCGGAUUUACUGGGUGUAAAGGGAGCGUAGACGGUUAUGCAAGUCUGAAGUGAAAGCCCAAGGCUCAACCAUGGGACUGCUUUGGAAACUGUAAAACUGGAGUGCAGGAGAGGUAAGCGGAAUUCCUAGUGUAGCGGUGAAAUGCGUAGAUAUUAGGAGGAACACCAGUGGCGAAGGCGGCUUACUGGACUGUAACUGACGUUGAGGCUCGAAGGCGUGGGGAGCAAACAGGAUUAGAUACCCCAGUA
rnacentral:rRNA from 1 species